AAAUAAAGAAAUUAAAAUAAGGCGGUUUUAAGAAGGCUCAGGGGGUGUUUUAUUUUAUUGUGAGCCUUUUAUUUUUAUCUGACCAAAAUUAAUACACACCAUGUUAAUUAUUGCAUUUGACUACAUAAUAAUAAUAAUAAUAGAGUGGAAGAAAUAAUACUAUGAUUGUUUGAAAUGCGUUUAGCUAAAUGGCAUAUCGUCUAUUUUAGAUAAUGAUCGUUAACACCAUUUUUUAAAUCAGUUUAGCCUACCUUUAUUUGAUUGCUGUUCAUUUGUUGUUGAAAUACGGCUUAGAUUGGAAAUAUUUUUACUAUUCGAUCAUGCACCGUCCUCAUGUAAUCAAUAUCAUAUUCUUUAAAAUGUUACUCUCAAAUAAAUUAAGCUAUAGCUUUGAAAAAAUUUAUGUCAAAUAGAAACGAGAGGUGCAAAAGCUUAAAUCCGCCAUAAAAUGAAUAAAGAAAAAAUAACAACAACAAAAACAAGUGUACUUGCAUUAGUAUGCACUUGGACAACGUGGUCAAAUUCAAGGAAUCGACUCUUUCGUUUUCGAAACUUCAUCACUAUUGCGCAUGUUUCCUCAAAGCAUCACACUCAGCACGUAGAAGACACCAGUCCACGCGGGAAUACUGAGGCCUCUUUUAUCUCCUCUUCCACACCAGUUGAGCUGUUUGGCCACUGGACCAAACACUUUGGAGGCUACACGCCAAAUGGUUUUUUUCAGAGUUUGUCCUCCUCUGAUGGAUAACCUCUUCAUCUUAAAAAUAAAAGCUAAUUGCCUUUCCAGUUGUUCAAGGUCCUCAAUUGUUUCAAUAGGAAAGGUGUCAUCCUCAGUGUCCACC